rnacentral:rRNA from 1 species
AAACCAACAGGGAUUGCCUCAGUAACGGCGAGUGAAGCGGCAAAAGCUCAAAUUUGAAAUCUAGCACCUUCGGUGUUCGAGUUGUAAUUUGAAGAUGGCAACCUUGGGUUUGGCUCUUGUCUAUGUUCCUUGGAACAGGACGUCAUAGAGGGUGAGAAUCCCGUCUGAUGAGAUGCCCAUUCCUUUGUAAGGUGCUAUCGAAGAGUCGAGUUGUUUGGGAAUGCAGCUCUAAGUGGGUGGUAAAUUCCAUCUAAAGCUAAAUAUUGGCGAGAGACCGAUAGCGAACAAGUACAGUGAUGGAAAGAUGAAAAGAACUUUGAAAAGAGAGUGAAAAAGUACGUGAAAUUGUUGAAAGGGAAGGGCAUUAGAUCAGACUUGGUGUUUUAUGAUUAUCUUCUCUUCUUGAGUUGUGCACUCGUAUUUCACUGGGCCAGCAUCGAUUCGGAUGGCAAGAUAAUGACAGUUGAACGUGGCUUCAUUCGUGGAGUGUUAUAGCUUCUGUUGAUAUUGCCUGUCUGGAUCGAGGGCUGCGUCUUUGACUAGGAUGCUGGCGUAAUGAUCUAAUGCCGC